GAUAAACAAUUAAAUGAAGUAAAAAACAACAAAAGAAGUAAUAAAUGAAACCCUAAUCAUAAAUGGAAACCCAGCCACAUGAAUCGACACUCCUCAUUUCUAGUAAUCUGAAACAACGAUUUCUGAAAAAUCUUUUUUUUCUCCAUUUGGGUAGCUUUGUAUGUCUUACCAGAAACUUCUUCCAAUUAGGCUAACGGUCAACCAGUCACUGGGAGCCCGAGCAUUCGUUCGUCAAUCUUCACAGAUUGUUCAGCAUAACUAGGAAAAUUCACAAACAAACCCAGUUCCACAGCCUGCAAACAUGCAACAACUUCGGCUGCAAAGGAAGUUGCCAAGUUGGUAUGUUUGCAUGUAAGGAAACUUUUAAAUGUAGGACUUUACCGUCGCCAUUUCUGAUAAUAAUGCCUGAACUUGAUUUGCUCUCUUUUUGGUUAUAAGCUACUUCAAAAUUAAUUUUUACAGUAUGUGCUUACGGAGCCUUCCACCAUGUUUCCUCAACAGUGAAAUUGGUUCCUGUCAGUCCAUAUUGCCCAAAGCGUACAUCCAAAAACUCUGUCCAUCUGGCUAGAAUGAUUGUCAAAGAAUUGGCUCACCCAAUCCUUAAUGUUUGAAUCCGGUGACAUCGUUAGCCCUUUAAAAUUCAUUAACUAUCAUCUCAGUUGAUUUUUGACAAUCUUUGAAAACAUGCUCCACUGUUUUAGCACCACCUACACAUCGGGGACAUCCAAGAUUGCCAAUUAAUCUUUUGUAAAGCAAAUUAGCAAAAGUAGACAGAAAAUUUUUUAUUAUUCGCCAAAUUGUAAUUUUAAUUUUGUUGGGAAAAUCCAACAACCAAAUUUUCUUGUAAUGUGAAAGGUUAUUAAGAGAUUCCUCUGUUCUUCUUAUAAAAGCAAUCUAUUGGCACUUUUCAUCGAAUA